rnacentral:rRNA from 1 species
GCAAAGCACUCCUACGGGAGGCAGCAGUGGGGAAUAUUGCACAAUGGGGGAAACCCUGAUGCAGCCAUGCCGCGUGUGUGAAGAAGGCCUUCGGGUUGUAAAGCACUUUCAGUAGGGAGGAAGGUAGUGUAGUUAACACCUGCACUAUUUGACGUUACCUACAGAAGAAGCACCGGCUAACUCCGUGCCAGCAGCCGCGGUAAUACGGAGGGUGCGAGCGUUAAUCGGAAUUACUGGGCGUAAAGCGCAUGCAGGCGGCCUGUUAAGUCAGAUGUGAAAGCCCGGGGCUUAACCUCGGAAUUGCAUUUGAAACUGGCAGGCUAGAGUCUUGUAGAGGGGGUAGAAUUUCAGGUGUAGCGGUGAAAAUGCGUAGAGAUCUGAAGGAAUACCAGUGGCGAAGGCGGCCCCCUGGACAAAGACUGACGCUCAGAUGCGAAAGCGUGGGGAGCAAACAGGAUUAGAUACCCUGGUAG